rnacentral:lncRNA from 1 species
AUGCUUGCACUCAGUGUGAGCGCUGUCACAGUUAAAUGUCUGUGUGCACUUACCAAAACUACAGCCAUUUCAAUGACACAUUUAAUUUUCCUGAGACUGAGGGAUUUGCUGCAGUGCAGAGAGGAGCCCGUUUGUUUGCUGGCAGGUUUUGACAUCGCUGGAUGCCAGCAAAGCUGAGGAAACUC